AUGGAAUUGAGUUUGCCUCGUACGCUUCAUCUUUUUAAUAUCUUUCGUGAGAUUGAUGGAAAGGAAAAUUGUGCUCAAGUGCUAGAAGAAGAAGUCUAUAGAAUGUUUGGCACUAAAUCUUUGAAUGAUGAUCAUGAUUGCAAUGUUAUUAGUAUGAACUUUUUGAAUAUCCAUAGUACUAAUGAUGAUUGCACUAGUCAUGAUGAAAAUAUCUAUUAUAAGCAUGUCGAUUUUUGUGGAGUGCAUAGAGUUUGCAAGUACAUACCAAACAGGGAAGAUAGAUUUUGCAAGAGGCAUAAGUAUUUGGAAACUAAAUGGUUGCAAGCGAGGCUAGAUGUUAGUGCUAAAAAUUUAAAAUAUCUUAGCCAUACUUGUGAACUUUGCAAUGAACAUGGUCAUUUAAAUAUCAAAUGCAAAUUGUUUCAUGAUCGAAUCGUGUCCAAAAAUUGUGAUGACUUGAUUUCCCUUGCACAUCAUAAUGAACUUAGUUUGCUUUUGGGUUAUGAAGAAAUGAAACGUCAAACUAAGCAUAUUCCAGAAUAUAACCUUGAGAAAUUCCUCGAUAUUGAUCUACAAGAAAUUUAUAUGUAUUGUGCGGUGAAUUGCAUUGAAAAUCCUUAUAUUGCCAAUUACAUAAAGAAAAGAAAACAAAUAAGAAGAUGA
rnacentral:rRNA from 1 species